CAUUUCAGCUUAUGGAGACAAUGACAUUGAUGUAAAAGAAAAGAAUGGAGCCAUUAAAGAUUUUGAACCUAGACCUAAUAUUUCAGCUUAUGGAGAAAAUGUCAUUGAUGCUGAUGAAAAGAAGAAACCAGUCAAAGAUUUUGAACCAAGACCCAAUAUUUCAGCUUAUGGAGACAAUGACAUUGAUGUUAAGGAAAAUAAGGGAGCCACCAACGAUUUUGAGCCAAGACCCAACAUUUCAGCUUAUGGAGACAAUGUCAUUGAUGAUAAUAAAAUGAAGAAACCAGUUGAAUAUUUCCAACCAAGACCAAACAUUUCAGCUUAUGGAGAAAAUGACAUUGAUGUUAAAAAAAGUAAAGAUUUUGAACCAAGACCCAACAUUUCAGCUUUUGGAGACAAUGACAUUGAUGUUAAUGAAAAGAAGGGAGAUACUAAAGAUUUCGAACCAAGACCAAAUAUUUCAGCUUAUGGAGACAAUGCCAUUGAUGAUGAUGAAAUGAAGAAACCAAUUAAAGAUUUUAAACCAAAACCAAACAUUUCGGCUUAUGGAGACAAUGUCAUUGAUGCUGAUGAAAUGAAGAAACCAGUCGAAGGUUUUGAACCAAGACCAAACAUUUCAAC
rnacentral:lncRNA from 1 species